GUGAAAUAAAAUAUCUGUGAAAACAAGUUUUCCAGUCUACUGUACUACCUGAAAAUAAAACAAUUAAAACAGCAUCAGGGGUAGAAAUAAGAAAAGACCAUUGACUUGCCCACAGGGCAAGUCAAUAUCUAGAUUAACUUGCCCUUGUAUCUGUUAACUUGCCCGACUAAUGGGGACGGCAAAGCCGUCCGCGCCGACGAGCAUAGCUCGUCGCACUUACGGCGAGGGGUCUGGGGGCCGCUUAAGGCCCCCAGAAGCUCUGGGGUAAAUGGUGCCAAAUCCUGCAUUCUAGACCUCUCCUGGCAGAUGAUUUCAAGUUUCUAUACACCCUUUUUUAAACAAAAACUUUUACUUUUACAAAAAAAAAGUGACAAAAAAAAAUAGUUUCUUUACAUUAAAAUUAUGUAUGUCUGACUUUUCGUGAGCAUGUAUAUUGUCCUUUUUAUAAUUUGUACAUCCUAUUACAAAACUGCCACUACUUCCAAACUGAACGCAAACCUCACAUGUCAUCCCCUUUUCUGUGUCUUUCAGCCAUUUAAAUUCAUCCAGCCAUUUUGUUAAAAAUUUACGUUUUCUAUUUCCCUCUUCAUAUUUUUUUUGUUGCUCAACCCUGUUGACGUUGGAUUCUUUAAGUUUUUUUAAAGGGGGGACAUAAUUUACUAAAAAGUUUUCCAUUUGUUUCUUUCUACUUUCAUUUUUAAAUCAACUCAAAAGUCGUUUGCAAAACGCGUUCUGAUUGGAUCAUUGUAUCGACUUCCUUUCACGAUUAGUAGCGGAAAUCCCCGAGCAGGUGCGACUGAACAUUCUAAAACGACGGCGCUCAUUGGCUUACGCAUAGGAAUUGACCAUUAGAAUUAUUCAGGACAAACUACGAUGUUUACGAUUUUCCUGGCAUGCGCAUAUGAAAUAAAGACGGCGAAAAUAGUAAUACAAUAAUACACAGUUGUACAUCGUACAAAAUUACGUCUGACAUAGUUAUACAAAUAUUUUAUUGGCACAAAUUCAUUAACAAUAAAUGGUUAAGACCUAUUGCAUAUAUUAUUAUAUUAAUUGACAUGAUAGAAUGAAACACAAACACAAAAUUUCAACUUGCCCGGCGGACAACUAUGUGAUGAGAUUCACUUGCCCGCUGCAGAUUUUACUUGCCUCGGGCAAGCGGGAUAGCGCUUAUUUCGAACCCUGAGCA
rnacentral:lncRNA from 1 species